rnacentral:rRNA from 1 species
AUUGAACGCUGGCGGCACGCCUUACACAUGCAAGUCGAACGGCAGCACGGGUGCUUGCACCUGGUGGCGAGUGGCGAACGGGUGAGUAAUACAUCGGAACAUGUCCUGUAGUGGGGGAUAGCCCGGCGAAAGCCGGAUUAAUACCGCAUACGAUCUACGGAUGAAAGCGGGGGACCUUCGGACCUCGCGCUAUAGGGUUGGCCGAUGGCUGAUUAGCUAGUUGGUGGGGUAAAGGCCUACCAAGGCGACGAUCAGUAGCUGGUCUGAGAGGACGACCAGCCACACUGGGACUGAGACACGGCCCAGACUCCUACGGGAGGCAGCAGUGGGGAAUUUUGGACAAUGGGCGAAAGCCUGAUCCAGCAAUGCCGCGUGUGUGAAGAAGGCCUUCGGGUUGUAAAGCACUUUUGUCCGGAAAGAAAUCCUUGGCCCUAAUACGGUCGGGGGAUGACGGUACCGGAAGAAUAAGCACCGGCUAACUACGUG